rnacentral:rRNA from 1 species
AGGACGAACGCUUGCGACGUGCCUAAGAAAUGCAAGUCGAACGGACAGUAGCAAUACUGUUAGUGGCGAACGGUCGCGUAACACGUGGGCAACCUGCCCUGAAGCGGGGGACAACAACUCGAAAGAGUUGCUAAUACCGCAUGUGAAUCGCUGUGGCAUCACAGAGGAUUCAAAGCCGCAAGGCACUUCAGGAUGGGCCCGCGGCCUAUCAGCUAGUUGGUGAGGUAACGGCCCACCAAGGCUUCGACGGGUAGCUGGUCUGAGAGGACGAUCAGCCGGAUUGGGACUGAGACACGGCCCAGACUCCUACGGGAGGCAGCAGUGGGGAAUCUUGCGCAAUGGGCGAAAGCCUGACGCAGCAACGCCGCGUGGAGGACGAAGGCUUUCUGAGUUGUAAACUCCUUUCAGCAGGGACGAUAGUGACGGUACCUGCAGAAGAGCACCGGCCAACUACGUGCCAGCAGCCGC